UUUCUGUUCAUAGUUCUUCAUGGUGUUCUACAUUGGUUCAUACAUAUGAAACUAUGAAGUUUGUGUGAUUUUUUUCUUUGUUUCCUCAGGGGAAUGGUUAAUGGGUUCCUUCUUCAUAGAGUCAGCUCCUUAGAGAUUGAAACCUACUUUGUUAACUCAGCAGGGGAAGUUGUGCAUGAUAUAGUACUUCAACAGAGGGGCAAGGCAGCCAUGUAAUUUCUCGGCAAGGGGAAACUGUUAGGUGUAAAUAAGGAGGAGGAGGAGGAGGAGCUAGCUUUGGAUGAUGGGCUAACCAUUUUGGUUUGCAUCUUCACAUAUUGAUAAAAGGGCUUGGCAGCCAUGGGAAGAUGGAGGUCUGGCAUUGCCUAUACUGACAUUUGGUAAUGAAGAAGUAAUUCUGCUUUCAUGGGGCUAUAAAUAAAGCUAUGUGGACAAGGCUUGUAAUUUUUGCAGAUCUGCCUUUACCAGGCUCUCAUCAAGUAAUCUCUUCCUUUCCUUCUUUCAUCUUGUUUAACCGUUUUGGAGCUAGUAGAUAUGAAGCUUGGUUAUUUGGGAACUUGGGAGUAGUCUGUGUAGCUUUGGCAUGUAGGUUUGAGAGGGUGAUGAUGGUUGAUUCCAUGGUGUUAUACGAAUCCUUGGUGUAUGGCUUUUAAUAAAUGGUUGCUGGGAUGAUGGUUCCAGGCUUGAGAUUU